rnacentral:lncRNA from 1 species
UUCGGCUAAAACCUCCUUAUAAAUAUUUGUUUUUCCACUUUUCCUUAUUAACUUUAAAAAAAUCCAUAUUUUACCCCCUUAAAAUUUCAGAAAUAUUUUCAAAAGAAUACGGCGUUAAUGAGAUGAACAAAAUAACCUAAUUAUCCUUAUUUCUUCUAUAAGAAAAAAAUUAAUUUUUAAUAUAUUUUUAUUUCUUUGCAAAUUACUUUUUAUAUAAAUUAUAAAAAAUAGAAGGCUGACGGAAAAGGAGGUUAAAUGUAACAACCUAAAAUAUUGAGGCAGUAAAAUACAGUUUUUUAAACGUUAGGAAGGAAAAGUAAAAAAAGUACUUAUAAAAGUGUUCUUUUGUAACGUAGCCUUUUAAAU